UACGUAGGGUCCAAGCGUUAUCCGGAAUCACUGGGCGUAAAGCGUGCGUAGGUGGAUUGUUAAGUGCGGUGCGAAAUCCUGUGGCUCAACCAUAUGGACUGUAUCGCAUACUGGCAAUCUAGAGGACAUGAGAGGCAAGUGGAAUUACUGGUGUAGCAGUGAAAUGCGUAGAGAUCAGUAGGAACACCAAUGGCGAAGGCAGCUUGCUGGCAUGUAUCUGACGCUAAGGCACGAAAGCGUGGGAGCGAACAGG
rnacentral:rRNA from 1 species